UUCCCGCCGCGGCGGGAGCUCGGCUGUCGCUGGCCUUCCGAGGCAUGUGCACGCCCUGCUCAUCCACUCUACACCUGUGCACUUACUGUGGGCUUCAGAUCGUAAAACGGGUCCCUUUACCGGGCUUGCGGAGCGUGUCUGUGCCUGCGUUUAUCACAAACUCUAUAAAGUAUCAGAAUGUGUAUUGCGAUGUAACGCAUCUAUAUACAACUUUCAGCAACGGAUCUCUUGGCUCUCGCAUCGAUGAAGAACGCAGCGAAAUGCGAUAAGUAAUGUGAAUUGCAGAAUUCAGUGAAUCAUCGAAUCUUUGAACGCACCUUGCGCUCCUUGGUAUUCCGAGGAGCAUGCCUGUUUGAGUGUCAUGAAAUCUUCAACCUGCAAGCUUUUGUGGUUUGUAGGCUUGGACUUGGAGGCUUGUCGGCCGUUCUUGGUCGGCUCCUCUUAAAUGCAUUAGCUUGGUUCCUUGCGGAUCGGCUCUCAGUGUGAUAAUGUCUACGCUGCGACCGUGAAGCGUUUGGCGAGCUUCUAACCGUCUCAGUUGGAGACAACUUUAUGACCUCUGACCUCAAAUCAGGUAGGACUACCCGCUGAACUUAAGCAUAUCAAUAGCCGGAAGAAA
rnacentral:rRNA from 1 species